rnacentral:rRNA from 1 species
GGAGCCGUAGCGAAAGCGAGUUUUAACUGAGCGUUCAGUUACUUGACGUAGACCCGAAACCGGGCGACCUACCCAUGAGCAGGAUGAAGCGAAAGUAAAAUUUCGUGGAGGUCCGAACCCACGGGCGUUGAAAAGCUCGGGGAUGACUUGUGGGUAGCGGUGAAAUUCCAAUCGAGCCCGGAGAUAGCUGGUUCUCCCCGAAAUAGCUUUAGGGCUAGCCUCAAGGUGAGAGAUACGGAGGUAGAGCACUGAAUGUCCUAGGGGGUAUUGCACCUACCGAAGACUAUCAAACUCCGAAUGCCGUCAUCUUAUACUUGGGAGUCAGACUGUGGGUGAUAAGAUUCAUAGUCGAAAGGGCAACAGCCCAGAUCGUCAGCUAAGGUCCCUAAAUGUAAGUUAAGUGGUAAAGGAUGUGGGAUUGCACAGACAACCAGGAUGUUGGCUUAGAAGCAGCCACUCAUUCAAAGAGUGCGUAAUAGCUCACUGGUCGAGUGAUCCUGCGCCGAAGAUUUCCGGGGCUAAAACUUAC